UCUGGGCGUGGUGGUGCACGCCUGUAGUCCCAGCUACUUGGAAGGCUGAGGUGGGAGGAUGGCUUGAACCCAGGAGAUUGAGGCUGCCGUGAGCUGAGAUCGUGCCACUGCACUCUGGCCUGGGCAACAGAGCAAGAUCCCGUCUCAA
ensembl:misc_RNA Metazoa_SRP Metazoan signal recognition particle RNA